rnacentral:rRNA from 1 species
CCCGCUGAACUUAAGCAUAUUAUUAAGCGGAGGAAAAGAAACUAACAAGGAUGCCCUCAGUAACGGCGAGUGAAGCGGGCGAAGCUCAACCUGAAAAUCGGAUAUCCAAGCGGGUGUUCGAAUUGUGGGCUAGAGACGCAUGAUCAGUGUGUGACCUAGGUAUAAAUCUUUUGAAACAAGGUAUCAUAGAGGGUGAGAAUCCCGUCUUUGACCUAGAGUUUUCGCCACGUACGAUCUGCGUUCAUAGAGUCGAGUUGUUUGGGAUUGCAGCUCUAAAUGGGUGGUAAAUUUCAUCUAAAGCUAAAUAUCGACGAGAGACCGAUAGCGAACAAGUACCGUGAGGGAAAGAUGAAAAGAACUUUGAAAAGAGAGUUAAAAAGUACUUGAAAUUGCUAAGAGGGAAGCACUGGAAACCAGUCGUGACUUGCGUAUAUUUUUACCAUUCGCUCCCGGAUUCUGCUACAUUCUCAGAGCCCAAAGCCUGACUUGUGGUAGAUGAUGGUGUGAGUGGGUCCUGUAUUGUAAGUCGGAUCAGAAUCAAUUUGAUUCGUGAGAGAAAGCUAUGGCAACGGUAGUUCUAUAAGGGGCAACUUUUAUGGAAUGUUUAGUGCUGUAGUGCUAUCAUGGAUUGGAUUGAGGAUAACAAUCUGUAAUGCGCACCACUAGGUUAUCGAUUCUCUCGACCCUAACAUGUUAUGAGACGUGGACAACAAAGUUGUGCUGUUUCAAAAGCGUGUUACUGGAAAGGAUGAAUUAGACGCUGCAUUCGAGAUUCUGAUGAAAUGGUUUUCAUUGACCCGUCUUGAAACACGG